rnacentral:rRNA from 1 species
AGCGAACGUUAGCGGCGGGCCUAACACAUGCAAGUCGAACGGACAGUAGCAAUACUGUUAGUGGCGCACGGGUGAGUAACGCGUAGGUAAUCUACCCUUUGGCGGGGGAUAACGUUCCGAAAGGGACGCUAAUACCGCAUAAGACCACGCGCUCUUCGGGGCGCGUGGGAAAAGGUGGCCUCUUCUUGAAAGCCAUCACCGGAGGAUGAGCCUGCGUCCCAUCAGCUAGUUGGUAGGGUAAUGGCCUACCAAGGCGAAGACGGGUAGCUGGUCUGAGAGGAUGAUCAGUCACACUGGCACUGGAACACGGGCCAGACUCCUACGGGAGGCAGCAGUGGGGAAUAUUGGGCAAUGGGCGCAAGCCUGACCCAGCCACGCCGCGUGAGCGAUGAAGGCC